UUGUGUGAAUACAUAGCACAUUCGAGGUAGACGCAGAGAACUGAAACAUCUAAGUACCUGCAGGAAGAGAAAGAAAAUUCGAUUCCCUGAGUAGCGGCGAGCGAAACGGGAAAAGCCCAAACCAGCAAGCUUGCUUGUUGGGGUUGUAGGACUCCAAUAUGGUAGUUCUUUCAGAUAGUCGAAUGACUUGGAAAAGUCAGUCAAAGAGGGUAAAAACCCCGUAGACGAAAUGUGGAAGACACCUAGGAGGAUCCUGAGUACGGCGGAACACGAGAAAUUCCGUCGGAAUCCGGGAGGACCAUCUCCCAAGGCUAAAUACUCCCUAGUGACCGAUAGUGAACCAGUACCGUGAGGGAAAGGUGAAAAGCACCCCGGAAGGGGAGUGAAAUAGAACCUGAAACCGUGUGCCUACAACAAGUCAAAGCCCGUUAAUGGGUGAUGGCGUGCCUUUUGUAGAAUGAACCGGCGAGUUACGAUUGCAUGCGAGGUUAAGUUGAAGAGACGGAGCCGCAGCGAAAGCGAGUCUGAAUAGGGCGUUUGAGUAUGUAGUCGUAGACCCGAAACCAUGUGAUCUACCCAUGUCCAGGUUGAAGGUGCGGUAAAACGCACUGGAGGACCGAACCCACGUACGUUGAAAAGUGCGGGGAUGAGGUGUGGGUAGCGGAGAAAUUCCAAACGAACUUGGAGAUAGCUGGUUCUCUCCGAAAUAGCUUUAGGGCUAGCCUCGGAAUUGAGAAUGAUGGAGGUAGAGCACUGUUUGGACUAGGGGCCCAUCUCGGGUUACCGAAUUCAGAUAAACUCCGAAUGCCAUUCAUUCAUAUCCGGGAGUCAGACUGUGAGUGAUAAGAUCCAUAGUCGAAAGGGAAACAGCCCAGACCACCAGCUAAGGUCCCAAAAUAUAUGUUAAGUGGAAAAGGAUGUGGGGUUGCACAGACAACUAGGAUGUUGGCUUAGAAGCAGCCACCAUUUAAAGAGUG
rnacentral:rRNA from 1 species